GGCCCCAUGGUCAAGCGGUUAAGACAUCACCCUUUCACGGUGAAAUCAUGGGUUCGAGUCCCGUUGGGGUCACCA
rnacentral:tRNA from 1 species